rnacentral:rRNA from 1 species
ACUAGGGUGGCAUCAGUGGGGAAUAUUGCACAAUGGGCGCAAGCCUGAUGCAGCGACGCCGCGUGAGCGAAGAAGUAUUUCGGUAUGGAAAGCUCUAACAGCAGGGGAGAAAAUGACGGUACCUGACUAAGAAGCUCCGGCUAAAUACGUUCCAGCAGCCGCGGGAAUACGUAGGGAGCAAGCGGUAUCCGGCAUUAAUGGGUGUAAAGGGAGCGUAAACGGGUGUGCAAGUCUGAUGUGAAAGGCGGGGGCUCAACCCCUGGACUGCAUUGGAAACUGUAAAUCUUGAGUGCCGGAGAGGUAAGCGGAAUUCCUAGUGUAGCGGUGAAAUGCGUAGAUAUUAGGAGGAACACCAGUGGCGAAGGCGGCUUACUGGACGGUAACUGACGUUGAGGCUCGAAAGCGUGGGGAGCAAACAGGAUUAGAUACCCGUGUAGUC